rnacentral:lncRNA from 1 species
CUUCAGAUCCCUAGGACAGCAAAACUGGUCUGACUGCCCCUCCAUCACUAGUCAUUUCUGUCCCAUUCUUUCCCUUCACAGACGGCUUGAGGGUGUCCUUGUCUUUCAAAUCAUGCCUUGACCAUGAGUUUUGCCAGGCAGGCUUUUAUACUGCCAGUGUGGAAGAAGAUGGUCCCAUUCGGACCCAGAUCACCUGCUGCCAGGAGGACCAGUGUAACAGCGGGGCUCUUCAGUUACCUGAUCCAAAAAAGCUGGUUUCCAAUGGGUUUUAAUGCCCCGGCUGCUUUUCCACCCAUUCGGAUCACUGUGACAGUAAAGGAAUGGACAGCUGCACACAGAAAGAAGACCACUGCUUCAACCUGGCUGGUUCCAUCAAAAGAAGUAAGUCUUGUGAGAUGAUAGAGAGCAGGAGUCUCCCUUUCUUUGUGCUCUCUGUCCAAAGAUGUUUCGAGUGGUGUUCGCUCCUUGCACUCAAGUACCACAUACAGAGAGUUUUGGCACUCCAGAUGUGUUACACUACAACUUCUAGCAUCCUGGUCUGUACUGCCAGUGGCAAGGGACUAUGGGAGUUGUAGUCCAAAAAAAUCUGAAGUGCCAGUGAUUCACCAUGCCUGGUCUACUACCAUCUUUCCCAGCAGAAAACUGAACCUGCUAUGUUUGUAGGCGAGACUAAGACUUUGCUAUUAAAUGAAUGAAUAGUCUACGUAUUUCCAAUAGCAUGAAUUUUAAUGGUGCAUCUAAGAUAGCUGUUUUUUUUUAAAAAAAAAUAAAUUGUUUCUCAAAGAAUAUCUUCUCUCCUAA